GAACAAAUUAGGAAGGCAAAAGUUCAGCUAGAACUCAAUCCAGUCACUGCUGUGUAAGAUUAUAGAAAGUGUUUUUACAAAACACCACUAACAAAAGAGGCACAAGGAACAUCUCCAUCCUUUAUGGGAUGUGGAGGGGAACAUUAUCACUACAGAUAAGGAAAAUGCUGCCUUCUUUGCCUCAGUCUUUAACAAUAAGACUGGUCAUCCUCAGGGCAACCAGCCCCCUGAGCUGGCAGUCAGGGGCAGAGAGCAGAAAAGACCCCCCACAAUCCAGGAGGAAAUGGUCAGUGACCUUCUGUGCCACCUAGGCACUCACAAACCCAUGGGGCCUGAUGGGAUCCUCCCAAAGGUACUGAGGGAACUGGCAGAAGAGCAAAACCAUUGGUAAUUAUUACUAAGUACAAAUUACUAACAUACAUGACAAUUAUGCUUAGAUACUUUAUAUACUAUAUGAAAAAUUUAGGACUGUGAUGGAUGAAUUCUCAUGAAUCAUAGGUCUUCCCCAUCCCCACCAGAGAAAGGAAACUCGCCAAGUAUUUAUUUUAUUCUAAACUUUGAAAUAGUUUCAGUAUUGAAAUAAAAAAAUACCAACCAAAACUCCCCAAAAACUAAGCCUGAAAGUCCAUCUCACUAAACAUAGCUGAUUUUUGAUCUGAAAUAUUUUGAAAAUAUUUCAGCUGAUUUCUCCCAUACUUUCAUUUUAUCAUAUAGCCAAUGCUUAAUUACAGAAUAUGCAUUUAUUUGGCAGCAAGAAGCUUGUGGUGGUCACAGCCUGGGUAACACACCAGACCCCAUGUGCAGUUGCUGUUAUACAUCACAAGAAUUCUCUUUUGAGGUCUGUACUCAUGGUUGAUUUAAAUGACCACAGCUCUGUUGAAUUGGCUGUGGUAUUCUUUUUACCAACAAUUAAUUUGGUCUUGCAACCACUGAAAAAUCUUCAGGAUCAUGAGCUUUAUUUCAAGCUCAUAAAUAGAACAAAACUGCACAUCCCAGUUGAAUAUCAGUCUUUGACCUACUCUGAUUUUUUUCUUCUGUUCUUCAUAAAUAAUCACUGUAAUGGAAGCAGAGCUGCUCUGGAGCAACAAAUUAUAAAAGUUGUACUUGAGUCUGCUGAUUGGGAUGUGAUUGAAUAGAUAAUUUACAGAUGACUAUUGAACAAAGAGCCUCUGGUGGCUCAAAAUAACCCAUUUCUUUGUAAACUCUUGAAAGCAGGGGAAAAACAAUGCCAAACCCCCUCUCUUUAAAGGCCAAGGUAAGCACAUGGAGUGUGUUCUGGCUGUGGAAAUGAUCUGCUCUGUCUGGGUGGAAAUGAGGGGAAACUGAAAAACCCAGAUGGAGAAAUGGAUACAUGCUGUAGCAUCUGAAGUGAGCAGCCAGUGGGGCACCAGCAGGAAAGGUUCCCUAGGCUCUCCCACAAACACAGAGCUGGGAGAAUGUGUUUAAUACUCAGGGCUUUGGCAGCUUGCAGUCUGCCUGAGAGCAGCGGAGCUAGACUGAAGAGCAAAAUGAUGGUGCUUAGGUGAUGUGCUCUGAGACUGGAAAAGAGGGGAAAAAAGGGGAAAACUGUAGAUAUGAUAGAGACAGUCCUGCAAAUCAAACCUGGGUGACAUGGUUCUGCAGGGAAUGCUGGUGGUAUCCCUGCUUCUGCCAGCAGGAGUGGGUUUCUGUUGCAACAGGGCUGUGCUACUCUGCAGUGUCUCCUGCACUGAACCUGCCCAUGUGUCUGCUCUCAUCUCUGCUUCUGUUGACCAGUUCUCAAUAUGCUCAUAGAAAUGCCUUGGUUAAAGCAAACCAGUGAUUUAAUUCUUGGUUUCACUUCUAAGUUUUCAGUGUUACAAGGACAUUACAAGUCCUAUUAA